rnacentral:rRNA from 1 species
AGAAAUUUUAAUUUUAAAAAUAUUUAAUGGGGGUUAAAGUAUUUUUAAUUGAAAAAAUUUGAAAUUUUAUAGUAAAUUAGUAUUGUGAAAGAAUUUUGAAAUAAUUUAAAUAAUAAUUAAAUUAAAAGUAAAUUUUAUUUAUUGUAUCUUGUGUAUCAGAGUUUAUUAAAAAUUUUUUAUUUAUUAAAUUUCUCGAAUUUAAAAGAGUUAAUUAAUUAAAAAAGUUAUUGUUUCAUAAAUAUUUUAAAUAAUUAAUUAGAAUUGAAAUGUUAUUCGUUUUUAAAUAUAUCUAGUUAUUUUAGAAAAAAAUUUAAUUUUUAAUUUAAAUUUAAAAUUAAUUAAUUAAUUAAUUAAUUUUAAAUUUAAAUUUAAUAUUUUAAGGGAUAAGCUUUAAUUUAAAUUUUUAUAAUAAUUAUUUAAAUAUUUGAAAAUUUUAUAAUUUAUAUUGUUAAUAAAUUUUAAUUUAUUAUAAAUAAUUUCAUAAAAUUAAAAAUUUAAUUAAAAAUUUAAAUUUUUAUAAAAAGAUUUUUUUUAAUUAUAUAAAAUUAGUCAUAAUGAUAAAAUUAGUAUAUUAUAUAUAUAUAAGUGUAAUUAAAAUUAUUAUUUAAAGAAAGUUAUUUUAAAGGAAUUCGACAAAAAAUUAUAUUCACCUGUUUAUCAAAAACAUGUCUUUUUGAUUAAUAAUUUAAAGUCUAAUCUGCCCACUGAUUUUAUAUUAAAGGGCUGCAGUAUAUUGACUGUACAAAGGUAGCAUAAUCAUUAGUCUCUUAAUUGGUGACUUGUAUGAAAGAUUGGAUGAAAUAUAGAUUGUCUCUAAAAUAUUAUUAGAAAUUAAUUUUUUAAUUAAAAAGUUAAAAUGAGUUAAAAAGACGAGAAGACCCUAUAGAGUUUUAUAUUUAUUAAUUUUUAAAUUUUUAAUUGUUUUGAGUUUAUUUUAAAAUUUAUUUAAUUAUUUUAUUGGGGUGAUAAAAAAAUAAAUAAAACUUUUUUUUAUAUAAAACAUAAAUAAGUGAUUAAUUGAUCCAAUAUUUUUGAUUAUAAGAAAAAAUUACCUUAGGGAUAACAGCGUUAUUUUUUUUUUUAGUUCAAAUAAGAAAAAAAGUUUGCGACCUCGAUGUUGGAUUAAGAUAAAAUUUAAAUGCAGAAGUUUAAAAUUUUGAUCUGUUCGAUCAUUAAAAUCUUACAUGAUCUGAGUUCAAACCGGUGUAAGCCAGGUUGGUUUCUAUCUUUUAAAUAAUUUAAUAUUUUAGUACGAAAGGAUUAAAUAUUAUAAUUAAAUUAAGUUAAAUUGAAUUUUAUUAAAUAAUA